rnacentral:rRNA from 1 species
GGGCCUCUUGCCAUCAGAUGUGCCCAGAUGGGAUUAGCUAGUAGGUGGGGUAACGGCUCACCUAGGCGACGAUCCCUAGCUGAUCUGAGAGGAUGACCAGCCACACUGGAACUGAGACACGGUCCAGACUCCUACGGGAGGCAGCAGUGGGGAAUAUUGCACAAUGGGCGCAAGCCUGAUGCAGCCAUGCCGCGUGUAUGAAGAAGGCCUUCGGGUUGUAAAGUACUUUCAGCGGGGAGGAAGGU